GUAGUCUGCAACCCGACUACAUGAAGCUGGAAUCGCUAGUAAUCGCGGAUCAGAAUGCCGCGGUGAAUACGUUCCCGGGUCUUGUACACACCGCCCGUCACACCAUGGGAGUUGGAAAUGCCCGAAGUCAGUGACCCAACCGCAAGGAGGGAGCUGCCGAAGGCAGGUCCGGUAACUGGGGUGAAGUCGUAACAAGGUAGC
rnacentral:rRNA from 1 species